rnacentral:misc_RNA from 1 species
CCUUUUUUUUUUUUUUAGCAAUUUAAUAAACCCGUUACAAUAAAGUCAUGUUUUAUCCAAUAAUUCACAGAAUUAGAAUAUUAAACAAUAUCUCCACUGAAAUGCAACGCCAAUGAUUGAAGAGUAUUAAGAAGAUUUAGGCAAAAGAAAGAACACAAUUACAAAUAGGUAUUCCAUUCCAAAUCAGAGAUAAAUCAGAGGUUCAGAAGUCAAUAUCAAUGCCCGUGUUUAUUCAACUACAGAACGACAUAAACAUGACUCUCAACAAUCAGGAACUCAUAUCUGAUCCAGUACAAACAUCCCCAUAUGGCUAACUAACACCUCCCUUACAAUCUUCCCAUCACUUCUUAUUGUUUUUAACUCCACCGCCAGCGUUGUUUCCUCCCACAGCUGCCUGGGCAGCUUUCCUCGCAGCCUUCUCCUGCAGAGCCUUUGCGUCCCUGUCACGGCGUUGUUCAGGGGUCAAUCCAUCGUCUUUGGAAUUCUUAGGCUUGUGGCCAGCCCUAGCUUGGGCCCUUUCCCGGUCUCGCUCUCUCUGGUUACCACGUUCGCUUCAGUUAAAGAAAAAUAAACAAACCAUAAGCCAAAUGACAACGAUUCACAAAACCAAAUUCCCCAAUUCAUCCGUCUGGUUGCUUCAGAUGCAAAGAUAAGCUUUUUGAAUUUCCAUUAAAAAAAAAAAACUCAUUGACCUCCUUGGCAACCAAAUAGAGAAAUAAAAGAAUUUGCAUGGAAAUCAAACAAAAAAAGAAGACGAUCUAGAGAAAUAGAGAAGGAAAAAAAUCUCAUCAGCAAGGAUAUGGGUCAUUGUCGAUCAAUUGCGCAGCAGCCAAGCGAAACUCCUGCAAAAUUCAAUCAACAAUGGGAAAAGAAUCAUUAUUUUCCAUUAAAAUUAAAACCAGACAGCAAAACAAAGGAUAAAAAUAGAGAGACAAACACCGGAGAGAGAGCGUAGACGUGGGUUUUCACUUGUUUGGAAGGGAGAUGAGAGAUUGGCGUCUUCAAACAGAAAGCUGACGAAUAAAGAAAGGGAAUUCCGAAAAAAGUCGAUCUCUAGAAGUGUCGAGAAGCCGCAGAGAUUCUACCGCGCGGCGUCCAGAAAUU